ensembl:lncRNA
UCCCAGUGUCACCUCAGUGAUCUACAGCCAAAUGCGACUCCCAGGAAAGAUCAUAAACUGAAUUAGUCUUGAAGUUAAGACAUCUUUGAGCUCUGUGGACAGCUUCUGUGGUUAAAUGUUUUCUUCAAAAUAAUACAUAAUUGGCGUUAAUAGAUGAUCAGCAAUGAAAAAGAGACCUGAUCUUUGCUACAAGAGCAUUUACAGUGCUGCUUUUAUACUCCCAGUUCAUGUUAUGGAUGGAUUCUCAUGGCUCCAACAUGUCCUUUUGGAAAGCUAUGGGGCAUCUGUUGUUUUGGGAGUGAGUUCCAGCCUGAAAGUGGUAGAGGCAUCCCUUCAAGAGAGCAGCUCAAAGUGCACUCAGACCCUGGAAUGCAAAAUGUCUUGGACUUUUUGCAAAUUAAUGCAUUUAUUACAUUCGUUUUGUAUUAUCAAGUAGCGUUGUGACUGCUCUGUUUGCUUGAAGUCUCUAGGGUAAAAAUAUUCUUUAAACAGAUGUUUAUUUUUGGACGGGCCAAUUGAGUUGUCUCCUAUUGUAUGUUAAAGCAGCUACUGGAGGUCAC